AUUCUCCAACACAGUUCUUACAGUGGCUACUACAUCAGGUGCACUCUCUUCUUCCUGGCAGGAAUAUUUUAGAAGGCUUUACCAAGAAUGUGGAAUUACACUAUGGCUUUAAGAAUUUGGCCAGAAAGAGGUCAGAGGAGGACAGAGCAAACUUCAGAAAUAGACAAGGUCUUACUCUGCUACCCAAGCUGGAGUGCAAUGGUAUGAUCAUAGCUUACUACAGCAUUGAACUUCUGGAUUCAAGAGAUUCCCCCACGUUGGCCACCCAAGUAGCUGGAACUACAGGCAUGUACCAUCACACCCAGCUUAUAUAUGUAUAUAAUUAUUUUUGGACAUACAGGAUCUCACUACAUUGCCCAAGCUGCUCUCAAACUCCUGGCCUCAAGAUGAUCCUUCUGCUUCUGCCUCUCAAAGUGCUGGGAUUAUAGGCAUAAACCACCAUGCUCAGUCCAAUGUUUUUAAUAUCAGAUACUCUUUAGUAUCUUUAAGAUUUUAUACACUGUGUAUGCAUUAGUUAAUUAUUAAAUUUUAAAGAAGUAAA